rnacentral:RNase_P_RNA from 1 species
CGAGUCGGCCGGGUGAUCGCGGCCCGGGCAACCGGGCUGAGGAAAGUCCGGACUCCGCAGAGCAGGGUGGUGGGCAACACCCACCCGGGGUGACCCGCGGGACAGUGCCACAGAGAACAGACCACCCGGCUUCGGUCGGGCAAGGGUGAAACGGUGGUGUAAGAGACCACCAGCGUCCCAGGUGACUGGGACGGCUCGGUAAACCCCACCCGGAGCAAGACCAAGAAGGCCGGUUUGCCGGCCGCAGACACCGUCCGAGCGCUGCUCGCGCGAGGUGUCUGGGUGGGUUGCACGAGCCCGUCGGCAACGACGGGCCUCAGAUGGAUGAUCACCGACGACAGAAUCCGGCUUACAGGCCGACUCGUCCC